AUACGUAGGGUGCGAGCGUUGUCCGGAAUUACUGGACGUAAAGAGCUCGUAGGUGGUUUGUCGCGUCGUCUGUGAAAUUCCGGGGCUUAACUCCGGGCGUGCAGGCGAUACGGGCAUAACUUGAGUACUGUAGGGGAGACUGGAAUUCCUGGUGUAGCGGUGAAAUGCGCAGAUAUCAGGAGGAACACCGGGGGCGAAGGCGGGUCUCUGGGCAGUAACUGACGCUGAGGAGCGAAAGCAUGGGUGGCGAACAGGAUUAGAUACCCUGGUAGUCCAUGCCGUAAACGGUGGGCGCUAGGUGUAGGGGUCUUCCACGACUUCUGUGCCGUAGCUAACGCAUUAAGCGCCCCGCCUGGGGAGUACGGCCGCAAGGCUAAAACUCAAAUGAAUUGACGGGG
rnacentral:rRNA from 1 species